AGUGAACGCUGGCGGCGUGCCUAAUACAUGCAAGUCGAACGAACACAUGAUGAGCUUGCUCCUCUAACGUUAGCGACUGGCGGAUGGGUGACAAGUAGAUAAGCUUCCUAUAAUUCUUGGGUGACUUCGUGAGGACGCAUAUAAUACCAGCUCAUAUAUUCAACCGCAUGAUUCAAUGGUGAAAGACGCUUUUGCUGUCACUAAUAGCUGAUUCCGCGCCGCAUUAGCUAGUUGGUAAGGUAACGGCCUACCAAGGCAACGAUGCGUAGCCGAGCUGAGAGGAUGAUCAGCCACACUGGAACUGAGACACGGUCCAGACUCCUACGGGAGGCAGCAGUAGGGAAUCUUGGGCAAUGGGCGAAAGCCUGACGCAGCAAUGCCGCGUGAGUGAUGAAGGUCUUCGGAUCGUAAAACUCUGUUAUUAGGGAAGAACAAAUGUGUAAGUAACCCUGCACGUCUUGACGGUACCUAAUCAGAAAGCCACGGCUAACUACGUG
rnacentral:rRNA from 1 species